AUGUGUGUUCAGGGCUCGGUCCACAAGGUGGCUCUGACCCAGUCGGGGCCAGCGCUGAAGAAGCCCGGAGAGUCCCAUACGCUGCAACGUGCCACCAGCGGGUUCGCUCUGAGCAGCGCCUGGAUGGGCUGGGUCAGACAGGAGCCCGGGAAGGGGCUGGAGUGGCUGGUCAGCUACCAUAGUCCCUCCACCUGCAAUGGCUACGCCUCCUCCAUCCAGGGCCGAUUCACAGCCUCUAAGGACAGCUCCAAUUUCUACCUGCAAAUGACCAGGCUGAAAGCAGAGGACACCGCCCUGUAUUACUGCGUGGGAUACACAGCUGUACCCAGAGAGACAAUCCGCAGCUCCCAGUUCCCAGCUAACCCCCCUGAGAACUUUCCCUGCCAAUACCAGGGACCAUGA